GAGAAGCGCGAGCAACGACGACGUCAUCCAAAAACAUGGCAGACAUUGGAUUAAUUUAAAAUAUCUUCAGCUGUGAGUGAUGAAGAAAAACAAAUCGGCCUCGGGGACAAUUAUUUGAAUAGUUCAAUUUAUAUUUUACGCACAAAAGUGAUGACCAAAAUAUCUUAUUAGGAAUUUCCAAAUCUGCCUUCUCCAUGUGGCCUUGUAUGGAAAUGGUAUUUUUGGACCGGGCGUCAGAUAAACUGCAGUACCGAAGCAAAACUAUAGGACCGGAACCCUGGCCCCUUACCAUAGGAAUGCAAGACAGGGGAAAACAACAGCAAGCCCAAAAUUCUCCGCUGGAGUCCUGUAUUGCACCGGGGGGAGAGCUGUGAUGGCAUCUGUUAUGCAGAUAAUGACAACAACAGUAGCUGUACAUGAUGUAAUGAAAAGUUGGAGGGGGGUCGGUAACGGAGGACAUCAGGUGGAUCCACGUCUGGGUGUUGGGCAGAACCCCUAGCUCAUGGAGAACAGGAGCAGAGUUAACGGGAACAGGGUAGGAGACAGAGACGUAAACAAAAUGUGAUGGAUUGGUGCCGUGUUAUAAAUGGUAGAUAUGUACUUUCCAACACAUUUGGAAGGUAUAGCCUCACCUCAAGCUGGUCCCCCUCGGACUCAGAUCACAGAGAAUCAGACUGAUCCAAACUCACUGGUUCUGGUGGAUGGGUUACCUCCUGGUGGGCUCGGACAGUCGAUGAUCCUAAAGUAAUUUGGAGAAGUAAAUUGAAGAGGUAUAUUUUUAUAAGCUUAACUACCAUUUCUUGCUUUUCUCAAAUGUCAACCAAAGCUUAACAUACUUUGUCUAUUGGGCUUCAGCGACGUGUAGGGCGUCAGUGCUUCCAGUGGUCGACCGUCCAACUGUAGAAGAUUGUUGGCUUCCACCAAGAUGGGGACCUCAGCUAGGAGAGAAAAAGCAGCGAGAUUUCCCAGGUCUCGCCUUCCUUUCGUCCUUCUUCCAAACCAUGAAUUCGCUCGGAUGUCGUAGCACUUGGUCCCCUUCUUGAUUCUGCUCCGGUAGCUCUCCUGCUGUUUAUCCUGCGCCUUGUCGAUGUUCCGUCUCACCUUGAUUGAUGACAGGAAUACAUGCAAUUAUAUUUCAUGUUACAAAUACAUUUCUUACAUUUCUCUUGGAGGGCAAGAAAAUAAAUGAACAGCGGGCAAUCAUUUUUACCUGGUCGAAAACCUCCUUCUCAGUCCGUGCCUGAAGGUAGUACUCGAACGUGUUCUGAUCUGGUUCGACAACUUCCAUCACAUCAGGUGGGGUUUCAGUGAUCUGAAAGUACGUUAUACAAAAAUGGCAAUAGACAAACAACAACAUUAAGUCAAUGACAAAUUUGAAAGACUACAGUAUAUGCAAUACUUGUAUAUUUAAACUAUCACAUUUUUUUGCCUCAGUCAACAGCUGCGGCUCCCGUCCGUACUCGGCAUGGAUUCUACUGCUGUGUGCAAAAAUACUUACCUUCAGGUUGUUCUCCCACCCUUCUUGGAACCAAUCAAGGGACAUGCCAUUGGCAGUCUUGAGGGUCUGGUUGGUCCAUUCACCAAAUCUGGAGGAGGAGGUAGAAAAGCAAUAACAAUGUAAGAUAUUGAAACAUAUCUGAUUAUGUACCAUGGAGAAUUUUUUUAUUUUUUGAAAUAAAUAAAACAAACCAUUGGUGACAGAAUAACAUCCGUACCUUGUAUCUGUGUCAUACAGUAUGCAGAUUUUCAUAUGUGUAAGGAUACUGACACACACACACACACAUUCUAUAAUAUUGAACUCUGCUGUGGUCAAAUAAAGAAACCAUUACAACAUUUUAAUGUGGACACUUACCGAUCAUGUGCCAUGGUGAAACAACUUUGAUGGGCUUCAGCCAGUCUUCACCCUCUCAAACUCAACUUUUGAAAUGCAAGAGAAAAGCCACAAUGUAUUAUUCCAGUUUAGGCACAAUUUAUAUUUUGGCCACUAGAUGGCAGCAAUGUAUGUGCAAAGUUUCCGACUGAUCCAAUGAACCAUUGUAUUCCUGUUCAAAAUGUAUCAAGUCUGCCCAAAUGUGCCAAAUUGGUUUAUUAAUACAUUUUCAAGUUCAUAACUGUGCACUCUCCUUAAACAAUAGCAUGGUAUUCUUUCACUGUAAUAGCUACUGUAAAUUGGACAGUGCAGUGAGAUUAACAAGAAUUUAAGCUUUCUGCCCAUAUCAGAUAUGUCUAUGUCUUGUGAAAUGUACAGUAUCAUGCUAAUCACAUUAGCGCACGUUAGCUCAACCGUCCCUUGGGGGGUCACUGAUCCCAUAGAGGUUCAAUUAUUUAUUCCUGUUCAACAAUAUGGACUUAUAUAAAAGACAAAUACAUGGUAAAGAAAGUGUUAUCUUUUCAGUGGUUUCGGCCCUCUAAAGCAGCAGGUAGUAGGCAGGUUGUCACUGUCAAAAACACCGUCCUUGGAGAGCAAUUCUGAGGUAAUCAUUUUGUGUGGACUGAGCAAGCGUUUAUGGGGUGAAAUAGAACGAAAACUGCCCGCAUUCUCCUUCCUUCGCAACCGCUAUGAGGUAAAAUAGAGCCAAGCAAACAGCAUAGCAACGGACAGUUUGGUUCAUUACGUAAUCCAGUCAGAAUGUUGCAAGUUCUAGCAACAGAAGCUAGAACUCAUUGAAUCCCAUUGUGACUUAGAGGGGGACACUAUUUGGCAUGGCCCCCCCAACCAAAUUUCACUUAGGGGCCCCUAAAGGCUAGUAGCGGCCCUGUCUGGCUGUUUAACUUUUUCAGGAGUAGGGCCAUUUGAGGUUUUUAUUCGGCAGGGGUUGAAAUACUAAUUUCAAAAAAUAAAUGCAUUUGAUAUAUUUCACCUCCAAGUCAUCGAAUUUGCUAGGUCAAUAAAAGCUCAAAUCUGUGACAGUCUCUGAGGUCCUAUAGAGAUCAGAGAUGGUCCCUAAUUUAGAGAGUCUCCGAUGCUAUAAAUGCUUUUGCUUUUACGACAUGCUAUGGCAGUGUUUUUCUUUUGUUGCAGUCCACCCUAUUGCAAAGUGCACAUUCACUUCCAUAACAUUUGUUCUAGGCUACCAGAAUGUAAGAAUAUCAUCCACAAUAAAACUGCAGUACAAUGAAAUAAUGGUUGUUUAGUUAAUGGGGUCUGGUAGCUUGCUGUGUGUGUUUGCUUCUAAUGGUAAUCCUUCGUCUGUAUUAGUAAAUUGCACCGUUUAUUGUGCGGCACAUUUUCUUCUGUUCUACUGAAUGCUUGUUUGAUGUUCUAUUAUGACGAACUCAAUUUGUUUUGAGAAUUUGACAAACACCACAUAUACCUUCAGUAUGUAAUGUAUUACAGUCUAUUACAGUCCACCAGGUUUUUACAAAACCCCAUUUUUCAGUACAUGUAUUUCCAUCAAUAAUUAAAAAAUUAUUACACCUGAAUUUUACAGUGGAAAUAUUACCAGUAUAUUUUCCCUUAAAGUUUUUAAGCAACUAACAUAAUGUGUGUCGUAAUUGUAUUUUUAUUUCAGUAGCUAAAUAAAGAGGUCGGCAUAUCAGUUCCAGGUAAAACUUGGUUUGGAAUCUGUUCUUCACAUGGAGCAAUAAGAUCUGCUUGUUCAAGUGCACUGGUCAAAAUACCAUACAACAGUUUGGACACGGCGCCCUGUAGGCUACACAACAACAGUGCUGGAACACAGUGACAAUUUCUCUAAACUUCGAAAAGAUUUUACUGCUAAGUGGUAGUCCCUGUUCACCUUCAUUCAUGUUUUACUUUUGGAUCUUCUAGCUUUGAUGGAAGAUUGGAGGGAAAAAACGGGAGUACAGUAGUUAUCCAGCCUGCUGACUAAGAAAUUUCUUGAAACAUGUCAAUGACCUCUAUAGCAAGUACUUGGCCAAGUUACCAGUGACCUAUUCCUCCACAUCGCAGUGAAAGGAGAGAGCAGAACCAACCCUCCUUAAAUCCAUAGUCAUUGACUAAGUUCAAACCCAUUCAACAGACACCUACCUCCCUUGGUGAACAAUGAGACGUUUCUCCCAUUUCUCUCUUGCUCAUUCUCCAUGUCCCUUCACUCAAACACGUGUGCAGUUGCAGAGAAGAGGGAAGAGAUUUGACAAAAACACAGUUUUCUAACAACGUUUGUUGAAGGAAUGAUAAGACAAGACAACUUUUAAAAAUAUAUCAUUUUAUUGUCUAUUUAUUGCCUCUUUACACAUACUACAUUGCUGUUACUUUUCUUUGAAGAAAAUAACCUCUGUCCGGUAUUUAAACUAUUGAAAUGCCUUCAUCAAAUACAUCCCAGUGGGAAAAACCUGGUUGAAAAGACAUCAGCAUGACUUCUUAUUCUGGUCACAAACUAGUUGAAAAAUGACUUUUGUGUUUCAUCUGCAACAUAACAACAGAGAGAAUGUUGUCGUCGAUAAGGACACAUUGGUCUUCAAGGCAUUUUGUGUUUGUAACAAGAUACUUUGCACUAGCCAGAGAUGCAUCAAAAGGUAUGUUACUGCACUAUUCACAGUAACUUACCACCAGCUUUCUGUUACUGUAAUACCAGAGCAAAGAUACAGUACAAUACCGCAAAAUUUGCCUACUAUACUGUAAGAAAGUAAAUGCUACUGUAAUCCUAAUAUAGAUAUUUUACUUUAAUACAUGGGAUUGGUGCAAGCAGGUUGGCUGCUAGUUAUGCGUAUAUUACAGCAUAUUUAUAUCAAGUGUACUGCUACAGGCCUAAACAAAGGCUUCCAAACUGGCAAAACACACCAAAUGGCAAAAUACUCAACCAGUAAAGAUUUAAGACUUGCUGCCACAGUGAUCUGUCCCCUAUACAAAUGAACCCAUUAAGGCACUACUAUCACAUAUUAGUUCAAUUGGUAUAGCAUUCUCACUAACGGGAUGCAAAAAAAUGUGGCUAGACAUUUACAAGGCACACUUCAAAAUAUGUUAACAAGCAAAUUACAGUAGCUUACUGUAAUUGUUUUGCUGAAAAUGUACAGCAAUUUGAUACGGUGUGGGAGAGAGGGUGAACUGGGUGUAAUCUAGUGGGACAUACAGUAUUUCAAUGUAAUUUAAGACUGACUCAGUCAUUCAUCUGGUUUAUCUUGAUCUUUCUCUUCACCCUCUGAUAUGCCAUACUAAAAUCGGACCAUAAAUGCCAUACUAAAUCGGACCAUCAAAUCACAUCUCUCAAUCACAAGAAUGUGUGCACUCACACAAAUGGGCUACACCCACAAAUGUGCAGUAUUUGUGCGCACACACAGCACACACAGCUGCUGGCCAGAUGACUUCAUGCCACUAGCUAUAGCUACAUAUCUUCCUACAACACCCACUGCCCAACAUUUUGUGGGUGAGGUGUUUAGGCAGUUCAGUGCCUAUUCCUCAACAUGGUCGUAUUCAUUAGAGCACACCAUGGCAAAAUGUUUUGCGAUGGAAAGUGAUAACGAGCCUUUCUUAAUGGACAAGUUUAGGUAGUCCCAUACUUAAAGGUCCAGUCCACGAACAGGCAGCGAGCCAGUUGGCACUAGAGAGACCUUUAGAUCUCUAAUCUGCAGUCAGCCAGUGCCUCUGGAGAGCUGUGUGUGUAGCUGUGUGUGUGGGUGUGUGUGUAGCUGUGUGUGUGUGUGUGUGCAGUCAGGACAGACCUAGUUAUUAAUAUGAUUGAUAACUGGGGCUUAGUUUCCCAAACAUCGGUCAUUUACAGUAUGUUGGACACAUGUCAUAAUCCUCCAAUACGCAGCUGAUUGAAAUAAGGUCCUUCUGUAGCUCAGUUGGUAGAGCAUGGCGCUUGUAACGCCAGGGGUAGUGGGUUCGAUUCCCGGGACCACCCAUACGUAGAAUGUAUGUACACAUGACUGUAAGUCGCUUUGGAUAAAAGCGUCUGCUAAAUGGCAUAUAUAUAAUCAAAAUCAUCAAGCGUGUAGUUGUGUAGUUGUGUAGUGCUAGGGCAAAAACCAAAACGUACAACCCGUGGGAUACCGAGGACCGAGUUUGGACAAUUCUGGGUUACCAUCUCUCCUCUGCCCUUCCCAUUUGUCUCGGUUUGUAUGAGGCCUCUUUGGGGCUGAUGAAGUAUAAAAUCU